rnacentral:rRNA from 1 species
AAUCUUGCGCAAUGGGCGAAAGCCUGACGCAGCGACGCCGCGUGGAGGAUGACGCCGUUCGCGGUGUAAACUCCUUUUCUCGGGGAAGAAUUAAGACGGUACCCAAGGAAUAAGCCCCGGCUAACUCCGUGCCAGCAGCCGCGGUAAUACGGAGGGGGCAAGCGUUAUCCGGAUUUACUGGGCGUAAAGGGCGCGUAGGCGGCGGCGCUAGCCGCUUGUGGAAGCUCCUGGCUCAACCAGGAGAUGCCAAGCGGGACGGCUCCGCUCGAGGCAGGGAGAGGGUCGCAGAACUGGCGGUGGAGUGGUGAAAUACGUAGAUAUCGCCAGGAAUACCCGUGGCGAAGGCGGCGACCUGGCCCUGUUCUGACGCUCAGGCGCGAUAGCGAGGGGAGCGAACGGGAUUAGAUACCCCGGUAGUCCUCGCCGUA